GUGCAACUAGUUUCUAUUAUAUGAAUAUCAUUCAUCUACACUGACCAAGAGUAUACAUAAACAGGUAUGAGGUGAGAUUAUUGUGAAGCUCUGCGUUGAAAAGCCUCAAAUGAACCAAGUGAAGUUGCUUUUCUAUGAAACUUUCCUGUUCUAGAGUCCUUAAGAACUUCGGCCAUCUUCAACAAUUCAGAUUUCUCAGUG
rnacentral:misc_RNA from 1 species